ACCCUCCGGUUCCCUUUCCCAUCGGAUCUGCAAAGUGGUCUUGGUGGUCGUAAAAGGAGGAAAAGGAACACUGACGCUGGCCUCCCAGUGCAUAUAGUCUGGUAUACGGCUCGGGGGCUAGUUUCAAACAAGG
ensembl:snoRNA small nucleolar RNA, H/ACA box 61